UAAGGAAUAUUGGUCAAUGGGCGGGAGCCUGAACCAGCCAUGCCGCGUGCAGGAAGACGGCCUUAUGGGUUGUAAACUGCUUUUAUCGGGGAAUAAAACUUUCUACGAGUAGAGAGCUGAAGGUACCCGAAGAAUAAGCAUCGGCUAACUCCGUGCCAGCAGCCGCGGUAAUACGGAGGAUGCAAGCGUUAUCCGGAUUCAUUGGGUUUAAAGGGUGCGCAGGCGGAUUGGUAAGUCAGUGGUGAAAUUCUAGUGCUUAACAUUAGACCUGCCAUUGAUACUGUCAGUCUAGAGUAUAGUUGGAGUGGGCGGAAUGUGUCAUGUAGCGGUGAAAUGCUUAGAUAUGACACAGAACACCGAUCGCGAAGGCAGCUCACUAAGCUAAAACUGACGCUCAUGCACGAAAGCGUGGGGAUCAAACA
rnacentral:rRNA from 1 species